rnacentral:lncRNA from 1 species
CUAGGAAAAAACACUUAUACACUUGCUCUAUAUAUAUAAUAAUUAAUUAUUAAAAUAAAUGAUUUUUUAUAGUUUUCAAACUAUACCUUUUCAAAUUUAAACUUUUUUAUAAAAUAUUUUUCUGAAUUUUUUUGUUUUUUUUUUGAAAUUUGAAAAUUAUUUUUGAAACUAUUUUUGAAAAAAUUAAAAAUUUAAAGUAUUUAUUUAUAUAUUUAAUACAAUCCUAAACUUCACAUUCUAAAAAC